GAUGAACGCUGGCGGCGUGCCUAACACAUGCAAGUCGAGCGAAAAGGCGCGGCGCUUGCUCCGCGCACGUUAGCGGCGGGCGGGUGUGUCACACGUGGAUAACCUACCUAUAUGACUGAGAUCACCUCGGGAAACCGGCGCAAAUACCGUAUAAUAUAUUGAACUGCAUGGUUCAAUGGUGAAAGUCGGUUUUUCUGUCUCUUAUAGCUGGUUAGGCGCCGCAUGAGCUAGUAGGUAAGGUAACGGGUUACCAAGGCUGCGAUGCGUAGACGACGUGAGAGGGUGGUAGGCGACACGGGAAGGGAGACAGGGACCCUAGUCCUGCGGGAGGGAGCAGUAGGGAAUCUUACGCAAUGGGGGAGAGCAUGACAGAGCAACGUGACGUGAGUGAUGAAGGUGCUCGGAUCGGAAAACUCUGUUAUGGGGGAAGAACAAAUGUGUAAUUAAAUGAGGAGGUCUUGACGGUAACUAAUAAGAAAGCCACGGCUAACUACGUG
rnacentral:rRNA from 1 species